GACGUAGGGCGCGAGCGUUGUCCGGAUUUAUUGGGCGUAAAGAGCGUGUAGGCGGCUAGGUAGGUCCGCUGUGAAAACUCGAGGCUCAACCUCGAGAGGUCGGUGGAAACCAUCUGGCUAGAGUCCGGAAGAGGAGAGUGGAAUUCCUGGUGUAGCGGUGAAAUGCGCAGAUAUCAGGAAGAACACCCGUGGCGAAGGCGGCUCUCUGGGACGGUACUGACGCUGAGACGCGAAAGCGUGGGGAGCGAACAGGG
rnacentral:rRNA from 1 species